UAUGGGAAAGGUCUAUUCCCUUUCAAACCGCAACCCAUUGUUUCAAAUCUCAAAACGCUCCAAGGGGCUCUUAUGGGUUUUUGAUGAGAGAAAUAUAAUCUCUUUAUAUUUCCUAGCCAAGCAUAAACAUAGAGACAAGCUCUUCUAUGUUUUGGCGUUGCAAGAGAAAGAGUAAGGAGUGUUGAGAAGAGCCGACGACAGGAAGGCACGCCUGAAGAGGCGGGCUCGAGAGACGCGACAAGGAAGAUAUGUUUACGGAACGGAGCCAGAUGAAGGAUCUGAGAACAGGGGAACAUGUUUGGAGUGCGGUUUUGUACAUAGAGGCAAGAAGUUGUUACGCGUGAAAACAAGGAGAGCUCCGGGAAGCGGAUUAGAGGACACAUCGAGAGAUUCUUGCAGAGAGGGUUUUCUUCUUCGUCGGUCUUGAAAAAGUUCCGGGGCUUUCUGGUAAGGUGAUAAAGAGAGCGUCGAAGAUUGAGGGGGUCUUUGUCCUCUCUGAGCGUAAGGAAAGACGCAGAAAGUGGGUUAUUCCGUGGGUGUUUCUGUGGAAGAAGAGUGCAGAAGAUUGGGGUUUCUUGAUGAGGGAAAUAGUGAAGGCGUCAAAUAUUGAUGGUGUCUUUGUCCUCUAUGGGUUGAAGGAAAGACCCCGAAAGGGGGUUUUUCUGCGGGUCUUUCUACGGAAGAAAAGAGCAUAAAAGGCUGCUCUUCUCCUUCUAAGUAUUCUCUGUUGUGAGGAUUUAGGGCGUCCGACUUUGGGGUUUCUUGACGAGAGAAAUAAUGAGAGUGCCGAAGAUUGAGGGGGUCUUCAUACUCUCUGAGCGGAAGGAAAAACGGAGCAAGGGGGUCCUGUGGGUGUUUCUGUGGAAGAAGAGUGCAGAAAAGGGGGCUAUUCUUCUUCUAAGUAUUAUCUAUUGUGGGGAUUUAAGGUGUCGGCCUUUGGGGUUUCUUGAUGAGGGAAAUAAUGAAGGCGUCGAAUAUUGAGGGUGUCUUUGUCCUCUAUGGAUUGAAGGAAAGACCCCGAAAGCGGGGUUUUUCUGCGGGUCUUUCUACUGAAGAAAAGAGAAUGGGGGCUCUUCUCCUUCUAAGUAUCCUCUGGUGAGGAUUUAGGGCGUCUGACUUUGGGGUUUCUUGAUGAGGGAAAUAAUGAGAGUGCCGAAGAUUGAGGGGGUCUUCAUACUCUCUGAGCGGAAGGAAAAACGGAGCAAGGGGGUCCUGUGGGUGUUUCUGUGGAAGAAGAGUGCAGAAAAGGGGGCUCUUCUUCGUCUAAGUAUUAUCUAUUGUGGGGAUUUAAGGUGUCGGCCUUUGGGGUUUCUUGAUGAGGGAAACAAUGAAGGCGUCGAAUAUUGAGGGUGUCUUUGUCCUCUAUGGGUUGCAGGACCCCGAAAGGGGGUUUUCCUGUGGGUCUUUCUACGGAAGAAAAGAGCAUUAAAGGGGGCUCUUCUCCUUCUAAGUAUUCUCUGUUGUGAGGAUUUAGGGCGUCCGACUUUGGGGUGUCUUGAUGAGGGAAAUAAUGAGAGUGCCGAAAUUUGAGGGGGUCUUCAUCCUCUCUGGGCGGAAGGAAAAACGGAGCAAGGUGGUCCUGUGGGUGUUUCUGUGGAAGAAGAGUGCAGAAAAGGGGCUCUUCUUCUUCUAAGUAUUAUCUAUUGUGGGGAUUUAAGGUGUCGGCCUUUGGGGUUUCUUGAUGAGGGAAAUAAUGAAGGCGUCGAAUAUUGAGGGUGUCUUUGUCCUCUAUGGGUUGAAGGAAAGUCCCCAAAAGGGGUUUUUUCUGUGGGUCUUUUUGCGGAAGAAAAGAGCAUAAAAGGGGGCUCUUCUCCUUCUAAGUAUUCUCUAUUGUGAGGAUUUAGGGCGUCUGACUUUGGGGUUUCUUGAUGAGGGAAAUAAUGAGAGUGCCGAAGAUUGAGGGGUUCUUCAUACUCUCUGAGCGGAAGGAAAAACGGAGCAAAGGGGUCCGGUGGGUGUUUCUGUGGAAGAAGAGUGCAGAAAAGGGGGCUCUUCUUCCUCUAAGUAUUAUCUAUCGUGGGGAUUUAAGGUGUCGGCCUUUGGGGUUGCUUGAUGAGGGAAAUAAUGAAGGCGUCGAAUAUUGAGGGGGUUUUUCUGUGGGUCUUUCUGCGGAAGAAAAGAGCAUAAAAGGGGGCUCUUUUCCUUCUAAGUAUUCUCUGUUGUGAGGAUUUAGGGCGUCCGACUUUGGGGUUUCUUGAUGAGGGAAAUAAUGAGAGUGCCGAAGAUUGAGGGGGUCUUCAUACUCUCUGAGCAGAAGGAAAAACGGAGCAAGGGGGUCCUGUGGGUGUUUCUGUGGAAGAAGAGUGCAGAAAAGGGGGCUCUUCUUCGCCUGAGUAUUAUCUAUUGUGGGGAUUUAAGAUGUCGGCCUUUGGGGUUUCUUGAUGAGGGAAACAAUGAAGGCGUCGAAUAUUGAGGGUGUCUUUGUCCUCUAUGGGUUGAAGGAAAGAGCCUGAAAGGGGGUUUUCCUGUGGGUCUUUCUACGGAAGAAAACGAGAAAAAAGUGGGCUCUUCUCCUUCUAAGUAUUUUCUGUUGUGAGGAUUUAGGGCGUCUGACUUUGGGGUUUUUUGAUGAGCGCAAUAAAGAGAGUGCCGAAGAUUGAGGGGGUCUUCAUCCUCUCUGAGCGGAAGGAAAAACAGAGCAAGGGGGUCCUGUGGGUGUUUCUGUGGAAGAAGAGUGCAGAAAAUGGGGCUCUUUCUUCUCAUGGGUCUUCUCUGUUGUGGGGAUUCAGGGUUUUCCUCUGCUUCUUCUGGGUUCUAAUCAGUGAAGGGAGACAGAAGAAAAGAGCAGAACAAGCUAAGUAAAAGAAAGAGACAAUAAUUUGUAAGAGAUGUUUAUUAGAGUUGUUGUGUACGAGAUGAGACCAGGUCUUUUCUAGUUGCUGGAUACACAGACCAUCAGGUCUGUCUGGCAUGGACUGUAUCCUGGCAGUAUUAUAGUCUUUGUUCAAUUAGCUAUAGUUUACUUGUUCAAGAGGUAUGCAAUAUCUAUCUACACUUAUACCUUGUAGUGCUGGAUUCGAAUAAUACGAUAUACUUGCUUUCUCAUACUUUUUUGUCGCAUUUGAGCGAUCAUUUGUGAGAGGCAGCAAACAACGUCCCGAAAUAUGGCAGGUUUUUAGAAUUGAUGGUUUGCAUUAACUUUGCCGAUAAUAGUUUUGGUGCUAAAAAUGUUUAUAUGCUGGUUUUCAAGUAAUACUCUUUUGUUUCACUCCCUUCCGAUCAUUCAUUUUUUUAAGAUCUCAGAGGGGAAGUCCUCUAAGGGUUCCUUGUCACCCUACAUCUUUUAUUGUCCUGUUAAAGCUGAAGGUCACCAUUUUUGGCCUUUCUAACACUUUUAUUCUAGUAGGAGAAAGGUUGUCAAUAUGUGUUUUGAGGCUUCAUUUUAUGUCGGGGCAUUAAUAAAAUUGUUUGGGUCUCUGAGAUUUAAAACAUUAUAAUCACAGUCCUUGCACUCAAAAAGUAAAUCUUUUACUUGAGAUUUUCAGUCCAAAGUAUAAGAUAUUCGAUUCCAUAUUAACAAGCUUUAUAUCCCAAAAUAGAGGUUCCUCGGAUUAUUACUUUGAAAGUUUGAGUCUUUUGAUAUUUUUGAAUAGAUUUAUUGUCCUUUUAUGUCCCAUAUUUCAGUAUCUAGGUUCAGAAAGUAAAAUGCCUAAUUUUUUUUUCUUUUGGAAAUUUUCUUUUUUCAUUUAUUCUUCAAAAAAUAAAGUGCCUCAACCGAAGGAAAUAAUUUUUGAUUUAUUUUGACAAAAUAAAACUAUGGUCCAUCAGGUUCUUCCAACUUUAGGAAAAUGUGGCUUGACCUUUUGAUUCAAAGUAAAUAUGUCCCAAUAUAUUAGUUUGAAAGAAAAAGUUACUUUGAUGACACACUUUCUCUUGAAAAGUUAGAAAACUUUCUCACAGAGAGUUGACAAAUUAGCACGGACAUAAAACAUGGAUGCUUGGUUAUUGGGAUAUUCAUCUUAUGUGAGAAAUGUUGUCGUUUUUCAUUUUGCAGCCAUAACAGGAAACUAAAUUUGCUUUUGUUCCUUGGUAAAAUUACCUUAAUUUCUUUUAUUGAAAGUGAAAGAAAAUUGAUUUAUUGUUUCAAAAUAAAUUUACGUCCGUGUUUAAGAAAGAGCUUUUCAAGUUCUUUGGAGGAAGUAGAAUUCCUUGUGUCCUGGUUUAGAAAGUAAAAAAUGGUUUAGAAAGUAAGAAAGCAGGUAAAUUUGUCUUGAUAUAUCAGUUUGAAAGAAAAAGUUGCUUUGAAGACAUACUUUCCCUUAAAGAGAUGGCAAACUUUCUCACAGAGAGUUGACAAUUAGAGUGGACAUAAAAUAUGGAUGCUUGGUUAUCGGGAUAUUCCUCUCAUGUGAGAAAGGUUGUCGUUCUUCAUUUUGAAGUCUCAUCAGGAACUAGAUUUGUUUUUGUUCCUCGGUAAAGUGCUUUAAUUUAUUUUAUUGAAAGUGAGAGAAAAUUGAUUUAUUGUUUGAAAAUAAAUUUGCAUUCGUGUUUAAGAAAGAACUUUUCGAGUUCUUCGGAGGAAGUAGAAUUCCUUGUGCCCGUUUGGUAGUUUGAUCUUAAAAAAAUGUGUCUGGAUCUUCUAACUCAAAGUAAAUAUUUAUUGGUAUCGUUUUAAGUUCCUUGCUUCUUUUGUUGAAAAAUUAUAUUUUACUAUGUCCUGGUUUGGAAAGUAAGAAAGCAAGUAAAUAUGUUUUGCUAUAUUAGUUUGAAAGAAAAAGUUACUUUGAUGACACAUUUUCUCUUAAAGAGUCGGCAAACUUACAAAGAGUUGAGAAAUUAGCGUGGAUAGAAAACAUGGAUGCUUGGUUAUUGGGAUAUUCAUUUUAUGUGAGAAAAGUUAUUGUUAUUCAUUUUUAAGCCACAUCAGAAACUAUGUUUGCUUUUGUUUGUCGAUAAAAGUUCCUUAGCUUAUUUUAUUGAAAGUGAGAGGAAAUUGAUUUAUCGUUUCAAAAUAAAUUUGUGUCCAUGUUUAAGAAAUAAUUUUUCGAUUUCUUUGGAGAAAGUAGAAAUUCUUGUGUCCAUCUGGUUGUUUGAAUUAAAAAAAAACUAUGCCUGGAUCUUUCGACUGGAAAUAAAUAUUUGUUGGUAUCUUUUAAGUUUUUUGCUUCAUCCGUUAAAAAUAAUUUUUGAUGGGAUCCCGCUUUGGAAGGUAAGAAAGCAAGUAAAUAUGUUGCGAUAUAUCAAUUUGAAAAAGAAAAUUACUUUGAUGACCCACUUUCUCUUGAAGAGCAAAUUUUCUCAUAGAGAGUUGACAAAUUGAUGCAUACAUGAAACACGGAUGCUUGGUUAUCAGGAUAUUUAUCUCAUGUGAGAAAAAUUGUCGUUCUUCAUUUUGAAGCUACAUCAGAAAACUAGAUUUACUUUUGUUUUUCUGUAAAAAUGUCUUAAUUUAUUAUAUUGAAAGCGAGAAGAAAUUGAUUUAUUGUUUUAAAAAAAUUCGCGUAUGUGUUUAAAGAAAUUUUUUUUGAUUUCUUUGGAGAAAGUAGAAUUUUUUGCUUCAUUCGUUAAAAAAUAACUUUUUAUGGUUUGUCGGUUUGCAAAGUAAAAAAGCUAGUAAAUAUGUCUCGAUAUAUCAGUUUGAAAGUAAAA